rnacentral:rRNA from 1 species
GAUGAACGCUGGCGGCGUGCCUAAUACAUGCAAGUCGAGCGAACAGACGAGGAGCUUGCUCCUUUGACGUUAGCGGCGGACGGGUGAGUAACACGUGGGUAACCUACCUAUAAGACUGGGAUAACUUCGGGAAACCGGAGCUAAUACCGGAUAAUAUUUCGAACCGCAUGGUUCGAUAGUGAAAGAUGGCUUUGCUAUCACUUAUAGAUGGACCUGCGCCGUAUUAGCUAGUUGGUAAGGUAACGGCUUACCAAGGCAACGAUACGUAGCCGACCUGAGAGGGUGAUCAGCCACACUGGAACUGAGACACGGUCCAGACUCCUACGGGAGGCAGCAGUAGGGAAUCUUCCGCAAUGGGCGAAAGCCUGACGGAGCAACGCCGCGUGAGUGAUGAAGGCCUUCGGAUCGUAAAACCCUGUUAUUAGGGAAGAACAAACGUGUAAGUAACUGUGCACGUCUUGACGGUACCUAAUCAGAAAGCCACGGCUAACUACGUG